rnacentral:rRNA from 1 species
GACGAACGCUGGCGGCAUGCCUAACACAUGCAAGUCUAGGGGUAGCAAUACCACUGGCGCACGGGUGAGUAACACGUAGGUUAUCUGCCCCCAUCACAGACAUAACCCCGGGAAACCGGGGCUAAUAUCUGAUGAGGUCGCGAGAUCAAAGCUUCGGCGGAUGGGGAUGAGCCUGCGGCUGAUUAGCUAGUUGGUGAGGUAAUGGCUCACCAAGGCGACGAUCGAGUAGCUGGUCUGAGAGGACGAACAGCCACACUGGAACUGAGACACGGUCCAGACUCCUACGGGAGGCAGCAGUGAGGAAUAUUGGUCAAUGGGAGCAAUCCUGAACCAGCAAUGCCGCGUGUGGGAUGACAGGGCUUCGCCUUGUAAACCACUGUCGGACGGGACGAAAGGAGGCCUCGGGCCUCUGGGACGUACCGUCAAAGGAAGGUCGGCUAACUACGUGCCAGCAGCCGCGGUAAU